rnacentral:lncRNA from 1 species
AUAUUAAAAUGAAAUGAGUAUUUAAAUAUAUCAAAUGCGGAAGCGAGAUCAAAAUUUCAAUUAACAUCCCUUACACGAAAAACCAAACAAACGUACUUAAAAUAUAAAAGGUUAAACUAACUAAGAAAGAAAACUCGAAGAUAAACUAUGCGUAUGUCUACAGAGUCUCUAGGCAUCCCCUUCGUCGUCCUCCUGCGGAACGGGCUCGGGAACCAUGUCUUCCUGAUCUGAAAUGGUUAAUUAAGGAGUGAGCUACACUAGCCCAGUAAGAACAUCACGAUAUCUCACCGUCACGGAAAUAAAGGUGGGUAGAAAACCACAAAAAGACCAAUGGAGCACAAUUUACAAUAAACUCGUUUAUUAACAUGAAAACCUUUACCAUCCACUUACCUUGGUGGAAUUUAUGAAAACAAUAUGAGAAAAACAAUAACAUCAUCAUAAUCAUUUAAUAAUCUAAGCUGUAAAACAUAACACUUAUCACGCCUCUUGUAAUUCAAUCAUUGUACAACAUAUCCCUUUUUCUC